UACGGGGGGGGCAAGCGUUGUUCGGAAUUACUGGGCGUAAAGGGCUCGUAGGUGGCCAACUAAGUCAGACGUGAAAUCCCUCAGCUUAACUGGGGGACUGCGUCUGAUACUGGAUGGCUUGAGUUUGGGAGAGGGAUGCGGAAUUCCAGGUGUAGCGGUGAAAUGCGUAGAUAUCUGGAGGAACACCGGUGGCGAAGGCGGCAUCCUGGACCGACACUGACACUGAGGAGCGAAAGCCAGGGGAGCAAACGGG
rnacentral:rRNA from 1 species